GGCCCAUAAGAAAUAUUUUUGAAAAGGACAAGUUUUAAGUUCAUGCUACUUCCAAUUUAACUUUAAUUUUACAUGGAUUCUACUUACUCAUCAUUCCUAACAAUUCUAACAUUUGUUUUUAUUUUAUUUUAUUUUAUUUUCAAUAUAUGAAGUUUAUUGUCAAAUUGGUUUCCAAACAACACCCAGUGCUCAUCCCAAAAGGUGCCCUCCUCAAUACCCAUCACCCACCCUCCCCUUCCUCCCACCCCCCAUCAACCCUCAGUUUGUUCUCAGUUUUUAAGAGUCUCUUAUGCUUUGGCUCUCUUCCACUUAACAUUUGUUUUUACCUAUAACAUAUAAGAAUAGUUUGAAGGAAAUAAUAUCUAUAUUUCUAUCAGCAAUAAGACUACUGAUUGAAGUUUAAGAUUUCUUUGUAGGUUUAUUUAUCCUGAGAACACUAUAAGUGCACUAUAAAAACACUACUUUCUAAAAUCAUUUAAUUAUUUACUUGAUGUGGUUAUGUCACCAACUUAAUAUACAUUUAGAUCAUUUGCUUCAGUUUGUUUUCAAAUUUUAGGAAUUACAUUUUUCUUUAAAAUUUAAAAUUAUUUUGGAUAUGUCAAAUAUAUACAGGAUUAAAAUUUUUUUAAUGUUUACUUUUGAGAGAGAAUGAGAGAGAGAGAGAGUCUUUGAGCAGGGGAGGGGCAGAGAGAGAGGGAAACACAGAGUCUGAAGCAGGCUCCAGGCUCCGCACUGUCAACACAGAGCCUGAUGUGGGGCUCAAACUCACAAACUGUGAGAUCACUACCUGAGCCGAAGUCAGAAGCUUAACCAACUGAGCCACCCAGGCACCCCUAUACAUGAUUUUAAAUUCAAAACUAUACAGUCAAGGUAUGUAAAGAGUAGUCUGUUUCAUGCCUGUCCCUUCUGUUUCUUCCCAGCCCAAAUACAUAUGCAAGUGUAUAUUCAUCUUGUGCACCUAUCUUACAGAAAAAAGAACACUAUGUUGUUCUGCAUCUUGAUUUGUUUUUUGUUGCUAUUGUUGUUUUAAAGCUAACCCAUAUUCUGGAGCUCAUGUUACAUCAGUGUAGAGAUGGCCUUCGUUCUUUUUCAGAGUUACACAGUGUAUUUCAUUACAUGGAUUUACUCCAGUUUAUUCAACCACUCCCCUACUUGUGGUUGUUUGGUUUGUUUCCAAUCUUGCUAUUGCAAAUAAUACUACAAUAAAAUUGUGCAUGUUAUUUUGUAUUUUGGAAAGGGUUCCUAGAACUGGGAUUUCUGGGUCAAAGGAUAAAUGCAUAUGUAAUUUUUCUAGGGAUUAUCAAAUUCCCUUCCAUAGAUGCUGUGAAACUAUUUUAUAAUCUCACUGGUGAUAUGUGCUGUCUCUACAGCCUGCAGCCCACUAGACAGUCAAAUUUUUGGGUUGCUGCUAGUCUGAUUACUCGCCUCCUUUUAUCAUCCUGCCCCAUAAUAUACCACAAUGCUUUUCAACUGCUUUGGAAAGCACUCUCUUGGCAUAAACAAUAAGUGACUGUGUUGAGGGUGGUAGAAGAAGGGUGACUGCAGUGUCCCUAUCUAUUUCCACUCACCUAAUCAUAGAAAUGGCCAAAGCCCAAAGCAUACACCAUCCUUGCUAAGACCUUGUACUUUCAAAGGCUGGUUUAGGUUUCCAGCCAAAGAAAAGGACAUCAAAUAUAAUUUCACUUGUUUCUAAGGUCAGCAGAAGGCAGAGAGGACUGGUACUUUACCAAUUUCAGGAUUCUGAGAAAGGUGUAGGAGGAACCAUGACCAUCUUUUGCCACCUUGCUAAACAACCCCCAAGUUCCAAGGAGUUGGAGAAGUCCCUGUGUAUGGCAGGAAGUUUCCACAGAUUGUGGAGUGACCACUUUAACUUGCAGGACUACUCAUACCUGGGACUUCUUUUUUGCUGCUUUGUAGGAGUAAAUGUCAUCAAUGGCCCUUGUUUGUUUUGGUUUGGUUUUUUGUUUUUUUCCAGCAUCUCCCAUUUUCCUAUAUUCUCAUGGCUGAUUCUGCCCCGAGGGACAAUGUCCAGAGACACAUCGGGUUGUCACAACUUCGAGAGGGGUACUGCGGGCUUAUACUGAGUAGAGACCAGGGAUGAUGCUAAACAUCCUACCAUGCACAGAAGAGCCCUCCUCCCCAUAACAGAGAAUCCCAUGCCCCCAAAUGUCAAUAGUACCAAAGUUGAGAAAUCUGCAAAAUGAGUAUUACCAGUGGCAGAGGAAGGUCAGAACCACAGAUAUUUCUUCCCCUGCUCCUCCAAAAGCCAGUAGCAAUUCAGAAAUCUCUUUAGUCAGAAAGACUCAAAGGAGUUACAUAUUUAUCUGGAAGAUUAAAGAAUAAAUACCAUUUUAACCUUCUAAAAACUGAUUAUCAUUAGGUAUAGUGCAACCUUUUAACUAUAAGUAUAAAGGAAAGUGCUGAUUAUUUAAAGUAAAUGGGACCAAGAGUCCCAUGAAUAAUCAACAACUUGGUUAAUAGAGUAUGACCAGAGAAUAAUGCAUUUGGCUUCUGUGGAAAAAUUAAAGUACAUGCUGUGAAUUGGUAUUAAGGAAAUUGCAUGAAAAGUUAGUCUUAAGGUUCUAUGAUUCUGAAGAAACAGCCUCAGGUGCACAAUCUAUUGCAUUCAGUCUUUAUCUCUCUUCAUUUUUUCGUGACUUCUUUCACCUUGGAUAACCCAGAAGCUCAGGCCUUGGAACUUUUUGAAACGGUAAGGUAUCUCACUCUCCACAUUUAUUUUCAUCUAGAACAGAGCUGAAUUUUAUUGCCAGGAGUUUGUUAUCUCUUCCACAGGAAUUAUUUUGAACUUCAGCUUGCCUUACUUAUUUUGCGGGUGUAGACUGUGUUUAACACUUACAAGCACAAUUCACUUGAUCUAAAAUGUAUCCCUGAAAAGUUAUGCCUAAAUUGAAUUUUUGGAAAUAAAAUCAGAUUUUUAAAUCACAAAGAAUAAUUGCAUUUAAAGGGAGUCUGAAGCUAAUUUGUAGAGAAAAGCACCUUUUUGCAAAGUGAAUACUUUAGUUUGCCUUUUUUUAAAUCUGAAUUUUUACAUGUAGCCAGAAUCUAGUCCAGUACUGUGCAAAAUACUAAUUUUUAAAAUAUCGAUCAUGAAUUUGAAAGGAUUUUGAAAGUUGGAGGUUUUACAAGUUUUGUUUAAAGAUUUAUUUAGUUUGAGAGAGAGAGACAGACAGAGAGAGCAAGAGGGGGAAGGGUAGAGAGAGAGAGGGAGAGAGAGAAUCCCAAGCAGGCUUUGUGCGGUCAGCACAGGGCCGGAUAUGGGGCUCUAACCCGUGGAUGGUGAGAUCAUGACCUGAGCCAAAACCCAAGUCGUAUGCUUAACCAGCUGAGCCACACAGGCAUCCCUAAAAGCGUUAAGAGAGCAAAACUGGGUAAUAUAUUCUUCAUUAUUAACAGGAGUUUUGUAACACUUGUUUUGGGUGAUGUGACAAGGGGCAGGACGCUAGACAUACCUGAACAAAGAAAAGGUAGCAUUACCUAAAGGAUAACUACAUCGACUGCUUCCCCUCAGCAAUGAAGAGAGAAGCAUGGUUGGUAGUUUGUUACUUUGUGUAAUGCUGUGGUUAAGAGCAUGGAUUCAGAAACCUGACUGGCUGAGAUAACACCCCUGUCUAGUGUGGCCUUACACAAUUCAGAGUCUGGAUGUGCCUGUUUUCUCACCGAAACAUGGAGAAUACUAACACUACUUAAUAGAGUUGUUUUGAGCAUUCAAUGAGCGAAUACGUGAGCUGUAAGUGAAAAGCACUAGGGCAAGUAAUAGUUUUGAAUCCUGGAUGGUGAACGUUGCUUCCUUCGGGUGAGAAAGGCGGGAGGCUGGGCGUGGGACUCUGCACCCUUGUGGAGGCAUGGCUGCUUCUGCCUGGGUCAUACACAGGGGGAAACCGAGGCUCAGCGAGGAGGCUGGUGAUUAGGCAAGGAUCGAGGACGUUCCUUGGGAAAAAGAACCCUUUCUGCCAGGCCACGCCACCUUCUGUCUGGUUGGGAACUGAGGGCAAAAAGGGCUCAGCCGCGCGCCUUCACUUUGCGUCUCAAUGCUGAGUAGCGGCGGGUAGCUCCAAAAACCCCGCCGGCCUAGGGGCCCUCCCUCCUGCCCUUCCACUACCACUGCCAGGGGCUGGGGGCGGACAGCUGCGAGAGGCUUCCGAGAGGUGCCGGCACCCCCGCCCGAGGCCCCUCCUUCCGGGAGGGCUGGGAGCCGCGAAAAGAGACUUGGUAGACACCGACCCUCGCUCAUAACACAAAUAUUCACGUGUGCCCUCUCCGUGCUGGGAAUUGGGCACGCCCUGGUGAAUCAGACUCCGCCCCCGCUCCGGGCGUUGGAGCACCACACAGCAGCCCCCCACGCCCCACCCCAAUCCAGGACAACCUAAAUCCUUCAACCUUGGGUGAGGAAGGGUGUGGGAGGAGCCUACACUUUCGCCCUACCCCUCGUCUUCCGCGUUUCACUACCAAGGCCCCCUCCCUUCUGGGGGCGUUCACGACUGUGUCGUAAAGUAGGGAACAUUCUCUGCUCCCGAACAGCCCGCCUCGCUGUCUUUACGACAGGCCGUAUUCCACGCCUCCAACAUGGCGUCCCCCAUUUAAGAAGCGGCAGUAGUUUCUACUCAGGUGGCCAGGGGCAGUGCUGAGCUUGGGCUGUUGUGUAUGUAGCCUGAAGUGCUGAAAGCUGUAGUUAAAGUUCGUUUCUAGUCACGGUUCCAGGAACUCUCCCUUCUUUCAGGGUCAGGAGUUGCCGGUUCCUUCUAGUUCCUGCAAGUUCUUCCUCUGCCCCUGGUUUGUUCCCUGCGCCACCUCCGGACACCCCCCAAAUCCCUGACACUCCCAGACUCAAACUAUGAGCCUUCGGCGGCUGCUGUUGCGCUUACCCCGUUAUCUCGGGGUCUCGGGUUCCCCGCGACGCUUGUGGUGGUCCCCGUUCCUCGAUACCAUCUCUUCGGUGGGCUCCUGGCGUGGUCAGUCCUCCAGGUCCCCGGCCCACUGGAACCAAGUAGUGUCAGAGGCGGAGAAGAUCGUGGGCUAUCCCACGUCCUUCAUGAGCCUCCGCUGCCUGCUCAGCGACGAACUCAGCAACAUCGCUAUGCAGGUGCGGAAGUUGGUGGGGACUCAACACCCUCUGCUUACCACGGCCAGGGGGCUUGUACAUGAGAGCCGGCAUAACCUCCAGUUGAGGGGCUUGGUGGUGUUACUUAUUUCUAAAGCAGCUGGGCCCAGCAGCAUGAAUGCAUCAUGUCAGAACUAUGAUAUGGUCAGUGGGAUCUAUUCAUGUCAAAGAAGUUUGGCAGAGAUCACAGAACUUAUCCACACUGCUCUCCUUGUACAUCGUGGGAUAGUAAAUUUAAGUGAAUUGCAAUCCUCUGAUGGACCACUGAAAGACAUGCAAUUUGGAAAUAAAAUAGCUAUCCUGAGCGGAGACUUUCUUCUAGCAAAUGCCUGCAACGGACUAGCUCUGCUACAGAACACCAAGGUUGUGGAACUUUUAGCAAGUGCUCUUAUGGACUUGGUGCAGGGAGUAUACCAUGAAAAUUCUACUUCAGCAAAGGAAAAUCAUAUCACAGAAGAUAUUGGAAUAUCAACUUGGAAGGAACAGACUUUUCUCUCCCAUGGUGCCUUAUUAGCAAAGAGCUGCCAGGCUGCAAUGGAAUUAGCAAAGCAUGAUGCUGACGUUCAGGAUAUGGCAUUUCAGUAUGGGAAGCACAUGGCCAUGAGUCAUAAGAUAAAUUCUGACCUCCAGCCUUUUAUUAAGGAAAAGACCAGUGACUCCAUAACUUUUAAUCUCAACUCAGCUCCUGUGGUCUUACAUCAGGAGUUUCUUGGAAGAGACUUGUGGAUUAAGCAGAUCAGAGAGGCUCAAGAGAAGGGAAGAUUAGACUAUGCUAAGGGCAAUAAUCGGACCGGAGGGAUGGAAAUAUGAAUGCAAUGGCCAAGUCUCCAAGGAACAGCAAAAUUAAAUUAGGCGCAUUUUUUAGAAGUAAAAGAGAAGGCACGUUCCUACAGUGACAGAGGUUUUGCAAGAAUGCUUGGCUGUAGCAGAGGAAGCCACCUUGUCAGCAGAACAUUCACUCUGGGACCCAGUACUUCUGGGAUGCUGGGACUGAGACCAGAACACGUGGACGAAGGGGAGCCCGGUGACAGGAGUAAAUCCAGACUUUCACACCAGCUCUGCAGGACUCACAGAUACUCCAGGGUGACUUUUGCUCUGUAGGCCAUGGUGACGACUCAGGUUUUAGUCUGUGGGAGGGAGAAAGAGCUACAAAAGCAAUAGAUGCUCGAUAACGGGGAAAAAAAUAAAAUCCAACAUGGCACAAAGGUAUCAUGUGAAAAAGUAAACAUCCCUCUCCUCCCUACCAUCCUGUACCUCAGGGGAAACCACUGUUACCCCUGUGUCUUCCAGGACUUCCCUAUUUACGCUGAAAUAUAUGUACGUGUUUUUCUUUUUCUCACAAAAAUUGGAUUACGUUAUGUUAUGUAGUAGGGAUACAAGAGCACCUGGCUCCAGGGGGUCCCAAACAGACCAGGUCCGGCCACCCGCUGCUGACAAAAUUCAAAGGCAGAGAAACUAGCAGUGGUGAAACAAGAGGAAUUUAUUUCUGUGAGGCCAACGCCGGGAAGACAGCGGACUGCAUCCCAAAGACCGUCUCCAACGUGCUGAAAAUACUUCCAGGUUUUCAGAAGGAAAAUGUGGGGCAAAGGUGUGCGGGUACUGUAGGCAGGAAGUGAAGGUCAAAUCGAUCAUUGUCCUGGAGCAAUCACGGGUGGGGUCUUGUAGGCUCAGGGCAGCCCUUAUUGCUUCAGGCGAUAAUUUCAGUUCUCAUCCCGGGAUGCUUUGCCCUCAGGGUCUGCUACCUGAGCCGGAGACAAACUGGGAAGAACCCAGCCGGAAAGUCUCCGGUCAAAAUGGAGGCAGCCGAAGUCCUCUUUCAAAUAGAUCUCUAAUUUUCUUCUACUCAAUAAAUAUGGCAAAGACAUUCUUCUGUACCCAUAAGAAAGAGUACUUUUCCUCUUUCUAAAGCCUACAGAGUAUGCCAUAGCAUGUGUCAUUCAUUUAGCAACUUUUCAAAUUCUCUCCCAUUUUCUUGCUAACAUGAAUGAUCCUGCAAUGAACAUCCUUGUAAAUGUAGCUUUGGUUGAGUGUUUCCCCAGGGAAAGUGGAAUCACUGGAUCUCGAGUUCAUUUCUAUGAGGUGUUUCAUUGUACAGAAAAUAUUUUAGGUCAAAUAAGACAAAAAAAAAAAAAAAAGCGUGUGUGUAUACCAUUUCAUUUAAAGAAUCUUUUGACCCACAGCAUAAAAUAAUUUCUUAAAACUUGGCUGGUUACUAGAGUAGUAUGUCUCCUUUUUCUUCUUUUUUUAAUGGGUUCUGAUUGGCUGGGAAACCAGCCUCGCCUAGUUCCUUGCUUCCUGCCUGUUGCUGCAUCUGUAUGAUCAGUGUGGGGACUCUUGACUGCAGGCCCUUGGGCAGCCCUCUGGGCGCGGGGGCCCUGGUGGCUGCAACGCCUCCAGCCAGCACUCUGGGCUGAGAAUGAGCUAGAGUUCGGAUUGGCAUUCGUUUUCUCAAGGGCUUGAAACCGAGAGUGGGAUUGCAGCAAUUUUCACUCUCCCUAACAUUUCUUCUCGCAGAAUCCUAUUGUGCAAGCCAGAUAUUCAACUAAAAUCAGAUACUAAUGGCUGUGUUGGGUCCUUAAAAUCUCAAGCCGCUAUAAAUUAUUAAAUAGUUCUUCAACACCGAAGGAGAACUACCCAGCACAAAUUCUCUGCAGCUUUUUCAUUCAAAACUUAUUUUUUACCUCCACAUUGGGUCAUUUACUGGUUCCGGAUUCCACUAAAAGUAGUCCCCCUUCCCCCAACAUCCCUUCCCCUCCCCACCCUGCCCCCAGAAUACAAGGGGUUAGACUUAACUCCCCAGGCUUAAUUUCCCAAACAAAAGCCAGUUUUGCAAGUUAUUUUUCAAGGUGUGUCUUUUCAUAAGUUCUAUUUAAUAAAGUUAAUACAUGUUCCUGCUUCCUUUCUUUUUUUCCUUCUUUUUUGUUGUCAGUAUUCACGGAAUCUGGAUCUGUCAGCUACUUCUGUUUGAAGUUGAAGAAUUGGCAAAAUUAUACAUCCAGCAGGCAAGAAAUAAAGUGGAAAUGUCUCACAAGUAACAGUGAAAUCUGUUGCGUUGUUUUAAGACUUAACUACUGAGGGGAAAAAAAAAGCCCUACUAAAUAUUGUCUUGGCAACUAUAAAUAUAUUUUAGCAAUGAUAAAAACCUUUAGAAUAACAGUUCAAAGAUAUCUGAAACCUAAUGCCUGUCUGUCUGCCACUCUUAAUUAUAUAUAUUUACAUUGUAUAUAUAUCCCAUUCUUCAUUAAAUGCUGUGCAAUUUUCCAUUUGA